ensembl:lncRNA
AAAUAAGCACUGCAAGAAAUGACUACUGUCUGGGGGUUAACUGCAAUUUUAAAGUGUAAUUUUAUCAUCUGAUCUCAGGAAUCAUGGUCAGAUUUAUGUCAUUUAAUGUAAUAUUGUUUUGGAAGUCAUUAUUCUCUCAAAGUAUUAUUCUCUCACUUGCAUGCAAAAAUUUAACUGUAAAACUUGUGAUUGUCUUCACUGCAGGACAUCAUGAGGUUUAUGGUGAGCCUCAGCACUCACAGGUGUCCAACUUCCAUGGCUCUACUGAGGUAGCAGGUAAGGCCAUUGGGUUACGUGCAGAGGGCCAGACUGAUAAGGUUACAGUGGAAGAGGGUCGUUCAUUUUCUAAGGUAUUUGAAUGGUUUGGGAAAGGCUCUCGAGAUGGAAAGCUGAAGGUGUCGCCAGUUAAGAACGAGAUGAAUGAAGAGGAACCAAAAGAUCAUGAAAGCCCAGAAGCCAAGUCAGAAGAUUCAGUGCCUCCAGUUUUACAGCCAAAGACCAAGCCUCCACCAAAGACACGUAGGGGGCUUUUUUCAUUGUUUUCGAGAGCAGAGAAAAAAGAUAAGAGUCCUGAAGUUCAAGCAUCUGACCAAGAUGAGAUAAGUCAAGAUAAAACAGAAAGUUCUGAAUAUAAAAAAUCUUGUACUUUGAGGUCUGAAGAUGAUAAUUUACCUCCACAGACCUCUGUUCCUACAAACAGCAAGACUGCAGAAAUACUGCAGGUAAAAACAGACAAACAAAUAUGCGAAGAUCCUCCUCAAAUAGAGACGUUUGACCAAGGUGAAAUAUCACCAGGAAGACUAGCCAACCUGAAGUCAUUCUGGGAAAGGGGGAACAAAGGACCUAAAAUAUUGAGCAUCAAAAGAGAAGCCGAGGUAGAAGAAAGUGAGCCAUCUCAGCUUAAUGAGAAUUAUCAUGAUGCUGAGGAACGAAGGUUGUCAGAUUCCAGCAUCAGCCCAUCCAAACCCAAUCCAAAUGAUCCUAAGCCAAAUCCAGUUGAUGUACAAUCUACAUCAUGUGAGAUUUCUCCAAUCUUACAUAGAAGAACAUCCAGUGGUGUUGAUAUAUCAGUCAUAUCCUCACUUGAAGAUGAGAAACCUUCUAGUUUGGAGAGCAAUAGGCUCUCAGAAGUUUCAAGCAGUGAACUACAAACUCUCACAGUAAAAAUGAAUGCCAAAUUGUCACCCAGUUCAUUGCUAAAACACAAAGAUAAAUCUCUGGGCAAUGAGCUACAGGAAGAGUCAAUCGCCAUGGACAUAUCAGACUUGAAGAAGGAAAUCGCCACCUUCAAGAUGUCCCUAGGUCAACAGGAGGAUAAAGUUUCAAUUAAUGAUCUCAAGUCGUUUUGGGAGAAAGAAAAAGGUGGCCUUAGAGUAAUUGUUGGUUCACCAACAUACACAGCUUAUGUUAAAGAUCCAUUCCCAGAGUCAUCUCCAAAACGUUCUUCAAUAGAACUUUCUGAACCUCAGUUUGACAUCAGGUCAACCAGCCCAAGUUUCCCAGGCAGAAUGAGUUUCAAAGAGGCUGGACUGACACAAAAAGAGAAGAUGGAACAGACCGAGGAAAACCAAAAAAGUCCAAGUACAGUGCCAUUACAAGACCUUCAAGAUAUCAGAGAAGUCUCCUUGCAAAAGGUCAACAUGAUGAGCCACAGCCCACUGACAUUUACCACCCAAAACACCAAGAUCAAACCAGAACUCCCAGUCCAUUACUGCAGUCUAAAGUACCUC